AGGUGUGGGGGACAUUCCACGUUUUCCGCGCCGUAGCUAACGCAUUAAGUGCCCCGCCUGGGGAGUACGGCCGCAAGGCUAAAACUCAAAGGAAUUGACGGGGGCCCGCACAAGCGGCGGAGCAUGCGGAUUAAUUCGAUGCAACGCGAAGAACCUUACCAAGGCUUGACAUGUGCUAGAUCGCCAUAGAAAUAUGGUUUCCCCUUUUGGGGCUGGUUCACAGGUGGUGCAUGGUUGUCGUCAGCUCGUGUCGUGAGAUGUUGGGUUAAGUCCCGCAACGAGCGCAACCCUCGUUCUAUGUUGCCAGCACGUGAUGGUGGGGACUCAUAGGAGACUGCCGGGGUCAACUCGGAGGAAGGUGGGGACGACGUCAAAUCAUCAUGCCCCUUAUGUCUUGGGCUUCACGCAUGCUACAAUGGCCGGUACAAUGGGUUGCGAUACUGUGGGGUGGAGCUAAUCCCAAAAAGCCGGUCUCAGUUCGGAUUGGGGUCUGCAACUCGACCCCAUGAAGUCGGAGUCGCUAGUAAUCGCAGAUCAGCAACGCUGCGGUGAAUACGUUCCCGGGCCUUGUACACUCCGCC
rnacentral:rRNA from 1 species